rnacentral:lncRNA from 1 species
CAUCCCUCCAACCUGGAGUAGCUUUGGUUCCGUCAUCACAUCUCCUAUUUCUGCCUUUGACCUUCCUGCCUCCCUCCUGUCAGGACCCUGUGACUACAGUGGGCCCACCCAGAUGCAGCAUCUGGUGCUGGAGGUUCAUGUCCUUCUAGGAGGUGGUGACAGGCAGGUAAACUGACACAUUGCCAUGUGGCCAUGAGUAAAAUGUGCUCAAAGAAUCCAUAAAAGAGAGGUACCCUGCACACGGGGGCCGAGGGGAGACUCAAACUGCAUCUCAAAUAGACCUUUAUUGCACGGGCCCUCUGCCAACAAGAGCCCCCUCCUGCUGAACAAUGCGGCCGCGGCCGUCUCCUGGGGCUCGCUUCUCUUUUCUUUCUCAAAGGGUACAACUGUCAGAUUAAGUUGAGCACAGCAAAAUCAAGAAAUAGGCAUCCCUCACGGGUACCCUUGUCAGGAGAAUAGAAGCGCCUCCAAGGGCAUGAUCUUAUCUAUACGUCUAUCUACACGUCAAUCUGAAGCCAUUAUCUGCAUGUAUCUGCAAGGCAGCAGAAAGAGAAACUUAAUGGGAUCCAGUAUGCCUGGAAGUCAUGGUAAUGUGUUUUCAUUUUCAAAAUGGCCUCACUCCGACUCUCGUAAUUAACGAUGACAGUGCCGAACAGAUGAAAAUCCAAUUCAGAGACCUUCCCAACAUGGGGGCCUCCGCGCUCAUGAGGACUAAACUGAUGCAACCAGAACGAACAAUUAAUUACCCAGGCCUCAGGCAAUUACACAACAGUGUCAGUGGAAAAUUAGGAUGGAGACAGGAGAAAAUGAAGUCGAUAUUGAAGCGAGCCGUUGGAUACAAGGCCAAUGUAACGACCUGAACCGUCAGAUGACACGGCAAAGCCUUCCUUCUCAGGAGUGACUUUGAGUCCAGGGAGGUGCAGCUGAGCGGAUGCAGGGACUGUGAACUCCCAGGUAGCCAGGGCAUCCAGGCCUCAGCACCUCCCUCCCGCCGCCUCCUCCCACUUGGAGGUUACACACACAUGCGCUCUCCAAGGGGACGCACCCUUGCUAAAACUAAACCUGUGUCCCUCCAUUGUGUGCCCUGAACUGCUCACCGUCACAGACACCAGACACUGAUAGACUCGGCCCAGCAGUCCUCUAGAUGGCUUGUUCCAGAAACCAGACUAUUCCAGGGCACGCUCUGGACUUUACACCACACCCCACGGAUGGACUCUGUUGGGAAAUUCUAAUUCGGGUCCGAAAUAAUCAGCAGCACACGUUGUGAUGAGUUGCCAGGGACUGGCAGGCGUUUCAUUUCUUAACUCGGCGUGGUGAUCCGCCUAGAUGCAAAGUCAGGACUCCCUAUUUUGGAAUUCCAGGACGAGCCUCCUUGAUUACUUUCUGUACACGGUCGUCAACCUACUGAAGUUUGAAAGCUCCUGGCUUGGAGACCUGGGGCUCACGAACGUGUAUGGGCUGGGCCAUGUCUAGAGAAAAUAUCCAGCCAAGCAGCAAGCCCACGCUUUUUGGUUUCUUUUCAUUAAGCAAAGUAAAUUGCAGUUCAGAAUUUGUUUCUGCAAGCGAUUUUGUAAAGCUAGAAUUCUUGUCUCAAAAUUCACAAGUUCAGAAGAUGCCUUAAAACGUCUCUUUGUUAAAUGCUGUCACCAAGACACGAGUGAACAGGAAAAACUCACCCCUGACCCAAACUGAGCUCGUGAGGCAUAAAUAGCAGUAUCAGGGGGCAUCUGCAGGGGCAAGAGAAACACCCUAAAGGCCAGUCCCAUGGUUCUGGGGAGGUCACCAUGGGGACCACCAGUUUUCAGAGGGAAAUAAGCUC